GGCCUAUUAGCUCAGUUGGUUAGAGCGUCGUGCUAAUAACGCGAAGGUCGCAGGAUGGGCCA
rnacentral:tRNA from 1 species